rnacentral:rRNA from 1 species
GUAGGUGGCAAGCGUUGUCCGGAAUUAUUGGGCGUAAAGCGCGCGCAGGUGGUUCUUUAAGUCUGAUGUGAAAGCCCCCGUCUCAACCGGGGAGGGUCAUCGGAAACUGGGGAACUUGAGUGCAGGAGAGGAAAGUGGAAUUCCACGUGUAGCGGUGAAAUGCGUAGAUAUGUGGAGGAACACCAGUGGCGAAGGCGACUUUCUGGCCUGUAACUGACACUGAGGCGCGAAAGCGUGGGGAGCAAACAGGAUUAGAUACCCUGGUAGUCCACGCCGUAAACGAUGAGUGCUAAGUGUUGGGGGGUUUCCGCCCCUCAGUGCUGCAGCUAACGCAUUAAGCACUCCGCCUGGGGAGUACGGUCGCAAAGACUG